UACGUAGGGGGCAAGCGUUGUCCGGAAUCAUUGGGCGUAAAGAGCGUGUAGGCGGCUCGAUAAGUCUGCUGUGAAAGUCCAGGGCUCAACCUUUGAAAGCCGGUGGAUACUGUGGAGCUAGAGUCCGGAAGAGGCGAGUGGAAUUCCUGGUGUAGCGGUGGAAUGCGCAGAUAUCAGGAGGAACACCAAUAGCGAAGGCAGCUCGCUGGGACGGUACUGACACUGAGGCGCGAAAGCGUGGGGAGCGAACAGG
rnacentral:rRNA from 1 species